CCUGACGACCAUAGCGUGCGGGAACCACCUGAUCCCAUGCCGAACUCAGCAGUGAAACCGCUCAGCGCCGAUGGUAGUGUGGGGCCUCCCCAUGCGAGAGUAGGUCAUCGUCAGGCACUUAUCCCGAAAAAA
rnacentral:rRNA from 1 species